GAUGAAGAACGUAGCGAAAUGCGAUACGUAGUGUGAAUUGCAGAAUUCAGUGAAUCAUCGAAUCUUUGAACGCACAUUGCGCCCUUUGGUAUUCCAAAGGGCAUGCCUGUUCGAGCGUCAUUUGUACCCUCAAGCUUUGCUUGGUAUUGGGUGCUUGUCCCGCCUCUCGCGCGGCGACUCACCUCAAAGUCAUUGGCAGCCCGCAUCUCGCCGGCCGUGAGCGCAGCACAGACGCGCUCUUGGCAACGACGGAUCGGCUCUCCAAAAGCUUAUUUCAACCACUGACCUCGGAUCAGGUAGGGAUACCCGCUGAACUUAAGCAUAUCAAUAAGCGGAGGA
rnacentral:misc_RNA from 1 species